AUUGAACGCUGGCGGCAGGCCUAACACAUGCAAGUCGAACGGUAACAGGAAACAGCUUGCUGUUUCGCUGACGAGUGGCGGACGGGUGAGUAAUGUCUGGGAAACUGCCUGAUGGAGGGGGAUAACUACUGGAAACGGUAGCUAAUACCGCAUAACGUCGCAAGACCAAAGAGGGGGACCCUCGGGCCUCUUGCCAUCGGAUGUGCCCAGAUUGGAUUAGAGUGUUGUUGGGGUAACGGCCAACCAAGGGGACGAUCCCUAGCUGGUCUGAGAGGAUGACCAGCCCCGCUGGAACUGAGCCACGGUCCAGACUCCUACGGGAGGCAGCAGUGGGGAAUAUUGCACAAUGGGCGCAGGCCUGAUGCAGCCAUGCCGCGUGUAUGAAGAAGGCCUUCGGGUUGUAAAGUACUUUCAGCGGGGAGGAAGGGAGUAAAGUUAAUACCUUUGCUCAUUGACGUUACCCGAAGAAGAAGCCCCGGCUAACUCCGUG
rnacentral:rRNA from 1 species